UCCCUAGUAGCUCAGUGGUAAAGAAUCUGCCUGAUAUUCAGGAAACCUGGGUUCAAUUCCUGGGUUGGGAA
rnacentral:tRNA from 1 species